rnacentral:rRNA from 1 species
UACGUAGGGCGCAAGCGUUGUCCGGAUUUAUUGGGCGUAAAGAGCUCGUAGGCGGUUCAGUAAGUCGGGUGUGAAAACUUUGGGCUUAACCCAAAGCGUGCAUCCGAUACUGCUGUGACUUGAGUUCGGUAGGGGAGUGGGGAAUUCCUAGUGUAGCGGUGAAAUGCGCAGAUAUUAGGAGGAACACCGGUGGCGAAGGCGCCACUCUGGGCCGAAACUGACGCUGAGGAGCGAAAGCAUGGGUAGCAAACAGG